ensembl:lncRNA
CUCCCGUUUUUCCAUUUCCUCUUCUCAAUUCCGUUGUCUAAAUCCCAGGACUCUUGGCUGCGAUCUUCAUCGGGAAUUUCUCUCGCAUCCUCGGAAAGUUCCUCAUCACGUUUCCCUCUUCUUUGGUGAAACCUCCCGUUUUUCCAUUUCCUCUUCUCAAUUCCGUUGUCUAAAUCCCAGGACUCUUGGCUGCGAUCUUCAUCGGGAAUUUCUCCUGCAUCCUCGGUAAGUUCCUCAUCACGUUUUUGUCGUCUUUGGUGGAAUCUGCCAGGUCUCCAUUUCCUUUUCUCUCUUACGUUGUCUAAAUCCCAGGACUCUUGGCUGCGAUCCUCAUCAGCGUUCUCUUUUGCGUCCUCAGAAAGUUCCUCAUCACGUUUCCCUCUUCUUUGGUGAUACCUCCCGGGUUUCCAUUUCCUCUUCUCAAUUCCAUCGCCUAAAUCCCAGGACUCUUGACUGCGGUCUUCAUCUUGCUCGUCCUUUACGUCCUCAGAAAGAUCCUCAUCACGUUUGCGAUUUCUUAAGUAGUACCU